GAAGACAGACCAAGAAACAUCAGAAACCCAAACUGACAAACCAAACAAAGCCUUUUCUUCUGCCUUUUUCAAUUUUUUUUUGUUUGUUUUUUUUUUU
rnacentral:ribozyme from 1 species